rnacentral:rRNA from 1 species
GUGUCAGCAGCCGCGGUAAUACGUAGGGUGCAAGCGUUGUCCGGAAUUAUUGGGCGUAAAGAGCUCGUAGGCGGCCUGUCGCGUCGACUGUGAAAACCCAGGGCUCAACCCUGGGCCUGCAGUCGAUACGGGCAGGCUAGAGUGCAGUAGGGGAGACUGGAAUUCCUGGUGUAGCGGUGAAAUGCGCAGAUAUCAGGAGGAACACCGGUGGCGAAGGCGGGUCUCUGGGCUGUAACUGACGCUGAGGAGCGAAAGCGUGGGGAGCGAACAGGAUUAGAUACCCUAGUAGUCC